UCUUCUGUAGCUCAGUUGGUAGAGCGCACGCCUACGAAGCGUGAAGUCGCGGUUUCGAGUACCGUCAGAGGAA
rfam:Sphaeroforma arctica JP610 cont1.13139, whole genome shotgun sequence.